rnacentral:rRNA from 1 species
GUGGAUGCCUUGGCACUAAGAGCCGAUGAAAGACGUGAUAAGCUGCGAAAAGCUUCGGGGAGGAGCACAUAUCCAUUGAUCCGGAGAUAUCUGAAUGGGGAAACCCGGCAGAGGAAACCUCUGUCAGCAUGUAGUGAAUUCAUAGCUGCAUGUGGGGAACCCGGGGAACUGAAACAUCUAAGUACCCGGAGGAAGAGAAAGAAAAUUUAUCGAUUUCCAAAGUAGCGGCGAGCGAAAUGGAAAGAGCCCAAACCGUGAUGCGUGCAUCGCGGGGUUCGGACUGCGUUGUGGCAGACGUAAGAUAGGAGAACGGACUGGGAAGUCCGGCCGGAGAGAGUGAAAGCCUCGUAUCCGAAAUCCCAAGUCGCCUAGCAGGAUCCAGAGUAGGACGAGACACGAGAAACCUUGUCUGAACGAGCGGGGACCACCCCGUAAGGCUAAAUACUUCUUAGUGACCGAUAGCGCAUAGUACUGUGAAGGAAAGGUGAAAAGUACCCCGGGAGGGGAGUGAAAGAGAACCUGAAACCCUGUGUCUACAAGCUGUGGGACCUCUUUAUAUGAGGGACUGCGUACUUUUUGUAGAACGGUCCGGCGAGUUGUGCGUACUGGCGAGGUUAAGGACUUAAGGUCUGGAGCCGAAGUGAAAGCAAGCGUUAAUAGCGCGUCAAGUCAGUGAGUGCAGACCCGAAACCGGGUGACCUAUCCAUGUCCAGGUUGAAGCUUCCGUAAGAGGAAGUGGAGGACCGAACCCACAUCCGUUGAAAAGGGUGGGGAUGAGGUGUGGAUAGCGGAGAAAUUCCAAUCGAACCCGGAGAUAGCUGGUUCUCCUCGAAAUAGCUUUAGGGCUAGCCUCAUGAGAGUCUUAUGGAGGUAGAGCACUGAAUUGCCUAGGGGGCGUCAAAGCUUACCAAAGCAUAUCAAACUCCGAAUGCCAUCAAGAUGAUUCAUGGGAGUCAGACCAUACGAGAUAAGUUGGAUGGUCAAAAGGGAAAGAGCCCAGACCUACAGCUAAGGUCCCAAAGUGCGUGUUAAGUGGAAAAGGAUGUGGGGAUUCUAAGACAACUAGGACGUUGGCUUAGAAGCAGCCAUUCAUUGAAAGAGUGCGUAAUAGCUCACUAGUCGAGAGUCCCUGCGCCGAAAAUGUCCGGGGCUGAAACACGACACCGAAGCUUAGGAAUGUGUAAACAUUGGUAGAGGAGCAUUGCUGGCGGGAUGAAGCCAUACCGUAAGGAGUGGUGGACUGCUAGGAAGAGAGAAUGCCGGAAUGAGUAGCGAGAUGAAGGUGAGAAUCCUUCAGGCCGAAUAUCUAAGGUUUCCAGAGUAAAGCUGAUCUGCUCUGGGUAAGUCGGGACCUAAGGCGAGGUCGAAAGACGUAGUCGAUGGAUAACAGGUUGAAAUUCCUGUACCGCAUAUAAACAGAACUGUGGGGACACAGACAGGGAAUGGAAUCCGGGAGUGGAGAUCCCGGUGCAAGCGAGGUAGGAGUGCUGUUGGCAAAUCCGCAGCAUGAUCUGAAGACGUGAUGCGUACCGAACAUAAGUAGGGAAGUCCAGGCCCCUGGCUGUCAAGAAAAGCCGCUAUCGUUUUAUAUGUGCCCGUACCGCAAACCGACACAGGUGGAUGAGGAGAGAAUCCUAAGGCCGACGGGAGAAGUAUUGUUAAGGAACUCGGCAAAAUGACUCCGUAACUUCGGGAGAAGGAGUGCCAUGUAAAAGUGGCCGCAGAGAAUUGGCCCAAGCAACUGUUUAGCAAAAACACAGGUCUAUGCAAAACCGAAAGGUGAGGUAUAUGGGCUGACGCCUGCCCGGUGCUGGAAGGUUAAGGGGAGAGGUUAGCCGUAAGGCGAAGCUUUGAACUUAAGCCCCAGUAAACGGCGGCCGUAACUAUAACGGUCCUAAGGUAGCGAAAUUCCUUGUCGGGUAAGUUCCGACCCGCACGAA